CAACUACUCCCUCUGUCCCAAAUUUCUUGUCUUAGAUUUGUCUAGAUACGGAUGUAUCUAAUACUAAAAUGUGACUUGAUACAUCUGUAUCUAGACAAAUCUAAGACAAGAAUUUUGGGACGGAGGGAGUACUUA
rnacentral:pre_miRNA from 1 species